rnacentral:rRNA from 1 species
AACGAACGCUGGCGGCGUGGAUAAGACAUGCAAGUCGAACGGGACUAAAUCUGUAGCAAUACAGGUUUAGUUUAGUGGCGAACGGGUGCGUAACACGUGGGCAAUCUGCCGAGAAGUGGGGGAUAGCUCGCCGAAAGGACGAAUUAAUACCGCAUAUGAUCAGCUAAGACAUCUUAGCGACAUCAAAGCCGGGGCGAACCUGGCGCUUCUCGAUGAGCCCGCGGCCUAUCAGCUAGUUGGUGAGGUAACGGCUCACCAAGGCUAUGACGGGUAGCUGGUCUGAGAGGACGACCAGUCACACUGGAACUGAGACACGGUCCAGACACCUACGGGUGGCAGCAGUCGAGAAUUUUUCUCAAUGGGGCAACCCUGAAGGAGCG